UCGAAGCAGUCCAGAACAAAAUAUUUAUGUACCUCUUACAUCCUGAAUCAUACAUGCCAAAUUUUUUUUUUAUAUAUUUUCGUUUUGUUGAUCCAAAUAUAAUCGGUUACAAUUUCAACACUUUUUCUACAGCAAAAUAACAUCAUGUCGGCUCCAGUUCGUGGUAAUAAGGCCUCAAAGCUGAGGUCCGAUGGAAAAGUUGAAAAGCUCGCACCCAUUGGUCCUUCUUGGAGCCUUAAAUCGUGGCUCCGAACCCACCAGUCGCGAUACCAGUCCCAGUCGCAUCCCGACCAUCCGCAGACCCAGUGCCAUCCCGACCAGUAGCAUACCGAUCCCCAGGCUUGCGGGUGGCCCGACGAGAAACACUUCCCCAGUUUUGGCUCUAAACGCCCUGAUCGCGUGAUUUGGUCGAUCCCUUUUUCCGGCUCUGUGUGAAUAUCAUGUAACCUUGAACAUGAGAAUGGGGCAACAGCUGUGUGGCCACAGGGGAAACAGCAGUCAAUGAUACGUCUAUUGGACAGGGUGUGUUCUCCGCGGAGCUGUUUUUCACCAAAAUUAACAUCAUGUCGGCUCCAGUUCGUGGUACUAAGGCCUCAAAGCUGAGGUCCAAGGGAAAAAUUGAAAAGCCCGCACCCAUUGGUCCUUCUUGGGCAUUGCUUAUGGCCAGGUAUAUUCCACCGCGAUGGCUACCACCUGGCCAGUUUUAGUGAGGUCCUGUCCUGGACUUAUUGCCUGGUGGAAUGGGGCAGCAACUGUGUGGCCACAGGAGAUUCCAAUGAUACGUCUAUUGGCAGGGUGUGUUCAUCGCGGAGCUGCUCUUCACGCAUUGAUUAUGGCCAGGUAUAUUCCACCGCUAUGGCUACCACCUACUAUGCCUGUAUUAUGGUAUUGACCAUCCGGUAUUUGGUGGCCAGUUUUAGUGAGGUCCUGUCCUGGACUUAUUGCCUGGUGGAAUGGGGCAGCAGCUGUGUGGCCAAUGAUACGUCUAUUGGCAGGGUGUGUUCUCCGUGGAGCUGUUCUUCAUAGAAACUGUACUCAGGGAACCCUAAACUUUGGAGGACAAUGGUCUAGGAACUCCCAGCUGGGAUCUGGUAUUGGUUCUCUUAGCCACUUGGGUUAUCAUCGGAACCAUUUUGUCUAAAGGCACUACAAGCUCAGGCUUCUUAUAUUCUGACCCUAUUUCCCUUCCGUUUAUCCAAAGCUUCCCAGCUGGGAUCUAGUAUUGUACCAUUUAGCCUUGUAUUCUGGCCCUGUUUUCCUAUUUGAUUUUGUUAGUCCUUUCGAUCUGCGCGGUUACAGUGAAUUUGAAUGCAAGUUUUGACCACAGACGACCACAUUCCACUUUCGCCCCCCAUAUUGCAGGCCUUCCGUUUAUCCAAAGCUUCGCAUUUGUUGAUAGUGCUCAUAUGUUUUCAUACUCCCAUUCUAAGCAAAGUAGCCUGGAAAACACCGGGUACAGUGGUAAAAGUUAUAUUUAUAGUGGGCUAUGCUUUAUCAUUCAGUAUACUUCAAAAGUCGAAGCAGUCCAGAACAAAAUAUUUAUGUACCUCUUACAUCCUGAAUCAUACAUGCCAAAUAUAAUCGGUUACAAUUUCAACACUUUUUCUACAGCAAAAUAACACCAUUUCGGCUCCAGUUCGUGGUAAUAAGGCCUCAAAGCUGAGGUCCGAGGGAAAAGUUGAAAAGCCCGCACCCAUUGGUCCUUUUUGGGCUUACUUUAAUAGUGGCUCCGAACCCACCAGUCGCGAUACCAGUCCCAGUCGCAUCCCGACCAUCCGCAGACCCAGUUCCAUCCCGACCAGUAGCAUACCGAUCCCCAGGCUUGCGGGUGGCCCGACGAGAAACACUUCCCCAGUUUUGGCUCUAAUCGUCCUGAUCGCGUGAUUUGGUCGAUCCCUUUUUCCGGCUCUGUGUGAAUAUCAUGUAACCUUGAACUUGAGAAUGGGGCAGCAGCUGUGUGGCCACAGGGGAAACAGCAGUCAAUUAAACGUCUAUUGGACAGGGUGUGUUCUCCGCGGAGCUGUUUCUCACCAAAAUAUCAUCAUGUCGGCUCCAGUUCGUGGCCUCAAAGCUGAUGUCCGAGGGAAAAGUUGAAAAGCCCGCACCCAUUGGUUCUUCUUGGGCUCUUACUUCCACCCGAGGCAGAGCCUUUAAUCGUGGCUUCGAACCCACCAGUCGCGAUACCAGUCCCAGUCGCAUCCCGCCCAUCCGCAGACCCAGAUCAAUCCCGACCAGUCGCAGGCUUGCGAGUGACCCGAAUAGAAACACUUCCCCAGUUCGGGCCACUCCCUUGGAAGAAGAAUACAGUGGGCGAUCAUGAACGUAAACCUAAAGUGGACGAGGACUCUGUCAAGCGGACUAAAUGUUUGCCGUGCCCAAGGGCUAAGUCAACGACGGAAGCUGUAUUCCAGCCGUCCUCGAGAAAGGAAAAAUCGCAUCACCGGGUAAUCGAGUUAAACAAGGUGCGAGGCUUGGAGAUGCAGCACAAGAAGCUGGAGAACUUGCAGUCGGAGUUCAUGCACAAAAUCCGCACCUUGGCACCCCAAAAGCUUCAAGGAGUCUACAAGUUUGUGGCCGUGGUGGUGAACGAGAAGUGCAAAGUCGUUGUUCACGACUACGAUCUGCACCGAUUGCCCAAGAAUCUGCGUAAUAAGGCCUCAAAGCUGAGGUCCAAGGGAAAAGUUUAAAAGCCCGCACCCAUUGGUCCUUCUUGGGCUCUUACUUCCACCCGAUACCAGUCCCAGUCGCAUCCCGACCAUCCGCAGACCCAGAUCAAUCCCGACCAGUCGCAUACCUAUCCGCAGGCUUGCAGGUGACCCGAAGAGAAACACUUCCCCAGUUCGGGCCACUCCCUUGGAGGCAGUAACCAGGGACAGUGCGUGUUACUUGCCCUUGCUUCUAGCCUCCGAGAAUACAGUGGGCGAUCAUGAACGUAAACCUGAAGUGGACAAGGACUCUGUCAAGCGGACUAAAUGUAUGCCGCGCCCAAAAGCUAAGUCAACGACGGAAGCUGGUGAGUAGCUGCUGACUCAAUUCCCGAUUUGAUUGAACAAGGUGCGAGGCUUGGAGAUGCAGCACAAGAAGCUGGAGAACUUGCAGUCGGAGUUCAUGCACAAAUUCCGCACCUUGGCACCCCAAAAGCUUCAAGAAGUCUACAAGGUUGUGGCCGUGGUGGUGAACGAGAAGUGCAAAAUCGUUGUUCACGCCGACGAUUGCCCAAGAAUCUGCCUCUCAAAAAUUAUUGGGCUGUUAGUACAACAAAUUGCUAGAUUUAAAAUUAAAAAUGUAUUGUUGUUAAAAAUUUUGGAUUUAAAAUGGCUUCUACUUGUUUUUAUAUAAAU